UAGCGCUCUCAUCUGCCAACUCAUUCCCUGUUAUUCCACUAUGAGCUGGAACCCAACAGAACUUAACUUCUAAUCCCAUCAUCUGAAUGCGAUAUAGUGUUUGCAAUAUGUCGAUCAAAAUAUCCUUUCUGCUUUCAGAAUGUCCACUCUGUAAUGUCAUCAGUGAGGAAUUUGAACAUACCAGUGCUCCUAACGGUCUGUUUUCCUCAACCCAUUGAAGUGCCAUUAGUAUUGCCAGCAUUUCUCCAGUAUACACUGAAAGAUUAUCUGAUAUUCUUUUAAUAACUUUAAUUCUAAAAUCUAUUACUGUGUAUGCUACCCCCACUCUAUUUCCACUAUCUUUAGAUGCAUCUGUAUAUAUUUACACGUUUAAAAUAUUUGUCUUUAAUAUAUGUUUGCACCAUUUGAAUAUUAAAAUUGCCCUCUGCACUCUUAUGAUACAUUGAUACAUUACCAGUGAUGUAUCAACAAUGGGUUUUGGUAGUAACCAUUCAGGAGUAUUUGACCAUGGUACUGUUGGACUAAUAACCAUAUCGGGUAGGUGUUUCUCACAACUGUUUAAAUAAAUAAAUAAAUAAAUAAAUAAAUAAAUAAAUAAAUAAAUAAAUAAAUAAAUAAAUAAAAAACUGGUUCCGCUGGUCAAUCCUCCUCCUGUUGUCCUCUGUGGGAAUGAAGACCGGUGUGAAGUACAGGUGUCGCUCAUUACCACUCACACCAGCGGCCUAUAAACAUGAAUCAGUAAAGACGACAUGCACAGUUGCAGACAACAGUAGAAUCAUGUUCUCUCUCAGUUUAGUGAUCACAUUCAUUUUACUGAACUCAAGCCUGCUGAUAUCAGCGAGUGGUGGACAUGGUCAUGGACAUGGUCACGGUGGACAUGAUCAUGAUCACGGUCAUGACUAUGACUACUGUAGGAGGUCC
rnacentral:lncRNA from 1 species